rnacentral:rRNA from 1 species
AAUUGACGGGGGCCCGCACAAGCGGCGGAGCAUGCGGAUUAAUUUGAUGCAACGCGAAGAACCUUACCAAGGCUUGACAUAUACUGGACUCCCCUAGAGAUAGGGUUUCCCCUCGGGGCUGGUAUACAGGUGGUGCAUGGUUGUCGUCAGCUCGUGUCGUGAGAUGUUGGGUUAAGUCCCGCAACGAGCGCAACCCUCGUUCUAUGUUGCCAGCACGUGAUGGUGGGGACUCAUAGGAGACUGCCGGGGUCAACUCGGAGGAAGGUGGGGAUGACGUCAAAUCAUCAUGCCCCCUAUGUGUUGGGCUUCACGCAUGCUACAAUGGCCGGUACAAAGGGUUGCGAUACUGUGAGGUUGAGCUAAUCCCAAAAAGCCGGUCUCAGUUUGGAUUGGGGUCUGCAACUCGACCCCAUGAAGUCGGAGUCGCUAGUAAUCGCAGAUCAGCAACGGUGCGGUGAAUACGUUCCCGGGCCUUGUACACACCGCCCGUCAAGUCACGAAAGUUGGUAACACCCGAAG